rnacentral:rRNA from 1 species
GGAGUGGGGCUGCUAUACAUGCAGUCGAACGAGCUUCCGUUGAAUGACGUGCUUGCACUGAUUUCAACAAUGAAGCGAGUGGCGAACUGGUGAGUAACACGUGGGGAAUCUGCCCAGAAGCAGGGGAUAACACUUGGAAACAGGUGCUAAUACCGUAUAACAACAAAAUCCGCAUGGAUUUUGUUUGAAAGGUGGCUUCGGCUAUCACUUCUGGAUGAUCCCGCGGCGUAUUAGUUAGUUGGUGAGGUAAAGGCCCACCAAGACGAUGAUACGUAGCCGACCUGAGAGGGUAAUCGGCCACAUUGGGACUGAGACACGGCCCAAACUCCUACGGGAGGCAGCAGUAGGGAAUCUUCCACAAUGGACGAAAGUCUGAUGGAGCAAUGCCGCGUGAGUGAAGAAGGGUUUCGGCUCGUAAAACUCUGUUGUUAAAGAAGAACACCUUUGAGAGUAACUGUUCAAGGGUUGACGGUAUUUAACCAGAAAGCCACGGCUAACUACGUGCCAGCAGCCGCGGUAAUACGUAGGUGGCAAGCGUUGUCCGGAUUUAUUGGGCGUAAAGCGAGCGCAGGCGGUUUUUUAAGUCUGAUGUGAAAGCCUUCGGCUUAACCGGAGAAGUGCAUCGGAAACUGGGAGACUUGAGUGCAGAAGAGGACAGUGGAACUCCAUGUGUAGCGGUGGAAUGCGUAGAUAUAUGGAAGAACACCAGUGGCGAAGGCGGCUGUCUAGUCUGUAACUGACGCUGAGGCUCGAAAGCAUGGGUAGCGAACAGGAUUAGAUACCCUGGUAGUCCAUGCCGUAAACGAUGAGUGCUAAGUGUUGGAGGGUUUCCGCCCUUCAGUGCUGCAGCUAACGCAUUAAGCACUCCGCCUGGGGAGUACGACCGCAAGGUUGAAACUCAAAGGAAUUGACGGGGGCCCGCACAAGCGGUGGAGCAUGUGGUUUAAUUCGAAGCUACGCGAAGAACCUUACCAGGUCUUGACAUCUUCUGCCAAUCUUAGAGAUAAGACGUUCCCUUCGGGGACAGAAUGACAGGUGUGCAUGGUUGUCGUCAGCUCGUGUCGUGAGAUGUGGGUAGUCCCGCACGAGCGCAACCCUUAUUAUCAGUGCAGCAUCAGUGGCACUCUGGUGGAGACUGCGUGACAACGAGAGGUGGGAUGACGUCAAUCAUCAUGCCUAUGACUGGCUACCACGGUGCUACAAAUGGACGGUACCACCG